CCUACGGGUGGCAGCAGUGGGGAAUAUUGCGCAAUGGGCGAAAGCCUGACGCAGCGACGCCGCGUGAAGGAUGAAGGUCUUCUGAUCGUAAACCUCUGUCAGCAGGGAAGAACGGUCACUGUGCUAAUCCGCAGUGAAUUGACGGUACCUGCAAAGAAAGCACCGGCUAACUCCGUGCCAGCAGCCGCGGUAAUACGGAGGUUGCGAGCGUUAAUCGGAAUUACUGGGCGUAAAGCGCUCGUAGGCGGGAUGUCAAGUCAAGGGUGAAACCCCCGCGCUCAACGUGGGAACUGCCUUUGAUACUGGCAAACUUGAGUGUGGUAGAGGAUAGCGGAAUUCCAGGUGUAGGAGUGAAAUGCGUAGAUAUCAGGAAGAACAUCGGUGGCGAAGGCGACUAACUGGAAUAUCACUGACGCUGAGGAGCGAAAGCGUGGGUAGCAAACAGGAUUAGAUACCCUUGUAGUC
rnacentral:rRNA from 1 species